UGGCAGAGUCAUUUGUCUGGUUAAUUCCGUCGGCGAACAAGACCUUCGCCAAAUCAUCGGCUAUAUGGGCAACUUCUUAUAGGGACUGUGUCGUGUCUAACGCGAGGAAGUAUGGAACAAUGGAA
rnacentral:rRNA from 1 species